CAUUAAUUGAGUUUUAGUGACCUUUUUGGUUUGAAGUGCCAAGCGUGGCGUUUGAUAUUUUAUUACGCUAAAAAGAAAUUUAUACCGACUUUAUCAGUAUUCAUAUUUUAGUUCCAUGCCGCGGAAGAUAAUUUUGCAGUUUGAAGAAAUGUCUUUCUGUCGACAAAUCAAGAAAUGAUGAUGCAAGUUUAAGGAAUGCCGGAGAACUUCAUCGAAAAAGAUUAAAUUUAUGGCUCCCAUUAAGAUAUGCAUUUUAAAGAGGAGGCUUUCAGGAUACAAGGUUGCAUUCAAUUAUAGUCUAUAGAGCUGGAAACUUUCAAUCUUCACAAUUGCAUACGGAUUUGAGUAUCUGAAAGGGAAGAUGUUGUAUGGAAGUCGAUAUUUCCCUCGUUCAUGCCUGUUUUUUGCAAAAUGAGAGGAUGUUAUUUUCUACCUGUAGAGCGGCUGCCUUUCCAACAUCCGACAAACCUCCUGGUGUAAUUAAUCUGGAUGUGCAGCAGUCGAUUCACAGGGAUGGUACUGGAAUGUGUGAAAGUCUCGAUUGCCUUCGGUGAUGACACCAGAGCGAGAUGGACCCUUCUGAAUAUGGAUUUUAUCCUGAACCAUCGCAAAUCUUAUCUUGGAGACAUACAGACCUAUAUGCAAAUAUAUUUGACAAUUGGCAUCCAAUUGCUCUAACUGCUGACAUUAAAAUCUUUAAUGCCAAAAUGUGUUAAUUAACAAAUUAUAAAAAUGA